ACUUUUACCCCUAAAAUCCCCAGUUUUAACCCCCAAAUCCCUCUCUUUAAACUCCAAAACUCCCAUUUCUGAUCACAAAAAUCCCCAUGUUUAACCCCAAAUUCCCAGUUUUUAACCAAAAUCCCAACUUUUCACCCCUUAUUGCUGGACGUUUUUGUACUCAUUUUUCUUUCCUUUAUCCCAGUAUGGGAACUGUCAGGUCCCAGCCUGAGCCAGUGAUUGUGCACCUGGUGAGGGGUGUAGCCAGCCCUGCCAGCACAGGUGGGAGCCGUUCAGCUGUGGGAUUGGAGGGGUGGAGCCUGGCUGCAUCCCUCCCUGGGCUCAUUUAAGGGCUGGCAGCCGCAAGGGCAGCAUCUUUAGCUGGAUACUUCCUCCUUUGGAGUGUGGAAUGUGCCCUGGUCCUCAGAAAGGAGUAAGUAAUUUUUUUUUUUAUUUUGGGGCUGGGGUCUCUGCCAUUCUUGGGGGAUAUGAAACUGCUUUUAAGCAGCUGUAUCUGCUGUGCGUGUCCCUACGAUGCCAUUCAGUUUUCUAAAGAAGAUGAAGGUGUUAUCUCCCUUUCUUGGACCUGGUGAUGGAGGGACUGAUGUACCUUCUUUCCUUUCACUACAGCCUCAUUUCUAGAAUGCUUCAAUUAAUCCCGAGGUAAUGCUGGUCAGCUCACCGAGCCUUGCAGCUCUGGGAAUGCCUAGAGCUGCUGCCCUGUUCCACAAAGGUGUUCUGCAUUCUCAAGAUCCUGUUUGCACCAGUACUUCUAACCUUGCUUCCUUCUGCUGGAGCCUCUAUUCUGUCAUUCAUGGUUCUCACCUUGCAAUCUCUGUUCUCGGGUUCUGAACUCAGUUUCUCUGCUCCCACAUUGUCCCAGCCCACUUUGUGACUGCAGUGAAUUUUGUCAGUGAAUUCCACCCAUGCAGAGAGUUGUUUAAGGCUGUUCUGUGCAUCAUGAUCAUGUAUUAUAUGAUGUUCUGUGUCUCUCUUGAUCUCAUCCCGUCACCCAACUCAGUGGGGUUGAAGGAUUGCCGGGGCUCCUCUAAUUAAUGGCUUAAGCACUGGGAAAUCUACGAGAGCAGGUAAUGGAACAUCAUGAGCCCGUUGUUUGUGCAUUGCUUGUAUGUAGGCAGCUUUAGCGAUGGCCGUGGGAGGCUCAUGAAAUGGGGGUUACAAGGGGCUCACCUCAUUCCGUGGGGUCUGUUCUCCCAGCCCCGUAAGCAACAUGGCCGGUGAUAGAGUGAGGUGCUUUGGCCGGGUCCUAAGCUGAAGAAAACUCCUGGACCCCAAUAGCCCUUGGUUUCAUCCUCACUCAGUAUAAUACAGUCUCCACCACUUGAGCAUGCUGACUACAGAUGUUCUGUUCUUGUUUUGCCUGGUUCUCUCCCGUAUCUCCCUUACAAAACUGUCAAUGCUAAUGGAUCUCAGCGCAUAGUCAUCGGAGCACAUCGUGGCUGACCACCACAGGGUCCUAUGGUUCUUGGUGUUUUAACAGCAGAUCUGCCUUUGUUUUUACAGAAAAGAAGGGAUUGUUCUCUUCUGAACCGCUGUAGUUGGGAUCACCCCAGCUAGCCCUGCAGCUGUGGGACCCGAUGGUGUGACAAAGCGAGGCCUCUGGUCUGCCGAACACUGGGACCGGCACAGAGGGGCCCUGUGACCAUUGUGGAUCAUAAUGACAGCUGCACUCAGUGAAUUUCCCAGAGCUGCUCAGCACAUGGAAUUCCCCGCCUGCCCCAGCUGUGCCCUGAUCUCCAAACUCCUUUGCAUCAUCGUGUCUCGCAGCCCCAGGCAUCUUGGUACGGUGCUGCCGGUGGCGGCAGAGAACUGCGGUGCUCCUGAACGGUGCCUGAACUGCAUGGAGAUCUGUGGCUCCUCAUGAAGUCAGCAAGACAUGGAAAUCUGGAUUUCCUGGAAUGCCUCGGAACCCAACUUGUCUGUCUGGUAACUGGUCGCCCAUACAGGUGCCAGCGGAGAACUGUGGUGCUCCUGGGCAGUUCAAGAACUGCACCGAGAUCUGUGGCUCUUCAUGAAGUCAUCAAGAAAUGGAAAUCUGGAUUUCCUGGAAUGCCCUUGAACUCGGCUUUCCUGACUGUGUACUGUUUGCUGUAAUGGGUAAGGGCAACGUACACCUACCACUGUUUCGCCAUGAGGUAGUGUGACUGAAUAUAGUGCUGUUAGAGCUCAGUAGUACACUUUAGGGUACCCUGAAGGCUGCCUGUGCCUUUUCUCCUGAGUUCUCCUUGCCUCUGUCCUUUCCCUCUGUUGUUCUCCUUGUCCCUACCUUAGCCUUUGAUUUCUCUUGGUGUUUUCUUUACCUUGCAUUUGAGUUCUUUCCAGUGUUCUCCGGGCCUUUGGCCUUGGACUUCAGUGCAGUGUUACCCUUGGCGUUGGCGUUGGGCUGGGGCCUUUGGUGCGGCGUUCUCUUUGGCGUUGGGCCUGGGCCUGGGCCUUUGGUGCGGCGUUCUCCUUGGCGUUGGGCCUGGGCCUGGGCCUUUGGUGCGGCGUUCUCCUUGGUGUUGGGCCUGGGCCUGGGCCUUUGGUGCGGCGUUCUCCUUGGCGUUGGGCCUGGGCCUGGGCCUUUGGUGCGGCGUUCU